CCUACGGGAGGCAGCAGUAGGGAAUAUUGGUCAAUGGGCGCAAGCCUUACCCAGCAAUGCCGCGUGAAUGAAGAAGGUCUUCGGAUUGUAAAGCUCUUUGAUCAGGGACGAACAGAUGACGGUACCUGAAGAACAAGCCCCGGCUCACUACGUGCCAGCAGCCGCGGUAAAACGGAGGGGGCGCGCGUGGUCCGGAAUGACUGGGCGUAAGGGGUGCGUAGGCGGGAUAAUAAGUGAGAAGUGAAAUACCCAGAGCUUAACGCGGGUGAUGCUUCUAAGACUGUUGAGCUUGAGUGCGGGAGAGGUUAAUGGAAUUCCUAGUGUAGCGGUGGAAUGCGUAGAUAUUAGGAGGAACACCAGAGGCGAAGGCGAUUAACUGGACCGUAACUGACGCUGAGGCACGAAAGUGUGGGGAGCAAACAGGAUUAGAUACCCUUGUAGUC
rnacentral:rRNA from 1 species